ACUACGAAGGCAGUAUACGGAACAUUGCAAUAAACAGAAAUAAAAAAUAACUAUGAACAGUGAAAGUUUAUUCCCAAAACAAGAAAUAAAUCAACAAGAGGAAACAAGUAACGAAAAAAAUGUACCUCAGCAGUACGUACCAAAAAAGCCCUAAACAUCCACAUGGAGACAGUGCAUUCCGAUAUAUAACGUUUCAAGCCUAAUAAGGAACAAUCUAUUGGACGUGCAUAAUAUAAAUGCGAAUCGUGUAAUAAAGAGUUCGGAAAACAAAUCUGAGAUCCCACGAGGUGGAACAGCAUUACAAUGAGGAACGUUACAAGUCUAAUAGAAACCUACAUACUUAAAGACAUAUAUCAAAACUAAAACGACACAAAAAGGUUUAUAGAAAUAAUUAAUGUGUUUACGAAUCUAAGCUAUGUGAAAAUAAUUCCUAUUCCAAUUGGUACCUAGAUUAUCAUAUAGACUCGGAGUACAAAAUUAAAUGACAACAUCCUUGUGAGGAUCACACUUUCAACCACAAUGCUAUAUAAUAAUGAACUGCGAUUGACAACGGG